rnacentral:rRNA from 1 species
UACGGAGGGUGCAAGCGUUAUCCGGAUUCACUGGGUUUAAAGGGUGCGUAGGCGGGGAGGUAAGUCCGUGGUGAAAUCUCUGAGCUUAACUCAGAAACUGCCGUGGAUACUAUUUGCCUUGAAUAUUGUGGAGGUGAGCGGAAUAUGUCAUGUAGCGGUGAAAUGCUUAGAUAUGACAUAGAACACCAAUUGCGAAGGCAGCUCACUACACAAUGAUUGACGCUGAGGCACGAAAGCGUGGGGAGCAAACAGG